rnacentral:misc_RNA from 1 species
CAUUUUUUAUCUUAUAUCAUAAACUUUAUGUUUUUUUGGAUAAUGGAACUGCUUGCGUAUAAAGAAAUUAGGCUUUUUAAUUAAGGUUUAAGAGUAAGUUGGCUUGUCAGAUUUAUUGUCUCGAUGCUAUUAAUAUGUUUUCUUAAGACAAAUUGUUUAUAGUAUUUUGAUAAAAAAAGUCAAUUGGGUAACACCAAUUGAAUCCAUCUAGCAAUAUGUUACACAUGUUACGACAUAAAAUCCCGACUCAAAAAUUUACAUCACAGGCUUGCCAGUGAUAUUUUUCUAGUACGUCAAACAAAACAUUUAAAAUAUGUCUUUAGAUUUUAAAUCUUUAAGCAUAAACGGUGAAUACCUCGACUCCUAAAUCGAUGAAGACCGUAGCAAACUGCGAUAAUUCACUUGAAUUGCAGCCUACUGGGAUAGUUGAAAUGUUGAACGCACAUGAUGACAUCGGUCCUUUCGGAUUAGGUGUUAUACUUGGGUGAGAGUGGUCCUGAUAGAAUCCCUUUUGGGUGUGUCUAUUGAACUUGAUUAGAUGGUGGUAAAAAGUGCGCGAGUGCAUAGCAGCUUCGUCCUAAUAAACUAUGCGAGGACCGCCCGAAAUGAGCCAAAUGUUAAUCAAGGGAGAUAGAUAACGCCUGAUUGGACGUAUGCCUAGGGUAUCUUUCCGUCUGUUGCCCCGCAAGGGGGGGCUUACUGGGUGACUUAGGCUACUAUGUUGUAAUUCUCUCGAUUUGUCACUGUCAUUCGGCUAGCAUUUAGAGGUUAACGUAAUCAAUAUACAUUGGUCACAAAAAACUUUUUAAUGGUGGAAGGUAAAUUUAAUGUCACUAAUAAUCGGUCCGUCAAAUUGGUUAGUUUAGAGGGCAUUAAGCGUGCUGAAAGCUAUUAGAAAGGAUCAAUUGUGUUGAUUCGACCUAUCUCUAAUAUGUUAGUCGGGUAUGUCCGGCAGUUUAGCGGCAGGGGGAACGGUGUACGCGCUGGGUUUCUGGCCACCGUUGCAGUAGCAGGUAAGAUCUGCGUAAUACUAGUACUUGUCCGAAAGAU